GACGUCAUCACUUAACAGCCCUAUAGGCGAUGCUGAAAGUGGUUUCAUCCUCAUUUCUACGGUCUCUGUGCGCUAAUAUUUAAUGGUUUUCAUCGUGCAGCAACAUGGUAAACCGUUGUUGUGUCAAGACAUGCAAGCAACACUUUGAUUACAAGCCCCAACAUAAGCAGGGUGCAAAAUGGAAACUACACAGAACCUUGGUACGUCACCUGCGACGGCGACGUCACCUGCGAGUUCCGCGGAACCCCUGACGCCGUCACCAGCUGGACCAUCCGCGGCACUGGACCAUCCAGCGACGGCCGUGACGCCGUCACCAGCUGGACCAUCCGUGGCACUGGACCAUCCAGCGAAGGCCGUGACGCCGUCACCAGCUGGACCAUCCGCGGCACUGGACCAUCCAGCGACGGCCGUGACGCUGUCACCAGCUGGACCAUCCGCGGCCCUGGACCAUCCAGCGACGGCCGUGACGCCGUCACCAGCUGGACCAUCCGCGGCCCUGGACCAUCCAGCGACGGCCGUGACGCCGUCACCAGCUGGACCAUCCGUGGCACUGGACCAUCCAGCGACGGCCGUGACGCCGUCACCAGCUGGACCAUCCGCGGCACUGGACCAUCCAGCGACGGCCGUGACGCCGUCACCAGCUGGACCAUCCGCGGCACUGGACCAUCCAGCGACGGCCGUGACGCCGUCACCAGCUGGACCAUUCGCGGCACUGGACCAUCCAGCGACGGCCGUGGCGUCGACUCUGCCAGUGCCGGAGACGACGGCGACGUCACCUGCGAGUUCCGCGGAACCCCUGACGCCGUCACCAGCUGGACCAUCCGCGGCCCUGGACCAUCCAGCGACGGCCGUGACGCCGUCACCAGCUGGACCAUCCGCGGCACUGGACCAUCCAGCGACGGCCGUGGCGUCGACUCUGCCAGUGCCGGAGAGGUCGGCGACGUCACCUGCGCCGCUGGUGUCAACACCGCAUGGACAUCAGCUGCGAGCUGGUAAACGGCGGUGGAGUGGAAGCAGAGCGCGCAAGCCACCAGCCAGCUGACUCAGAGCCCAGGGGGCGUUCGCCACCAACAUCCGCACGGCGCAGCUGCAGAGGUGAUUUCUGCCAUGGAGCAGCAUCCGCGGCUCCAUGACAUCAUCCUUCCAUCAUUCUCCAUCAUCAUUUCCGGAGCUCACCCGACGGCGGAGCUGGCGACGCCCGCGCCCCGCCUGGCCGUCCAGCCUGCGCGCUCCGCCGCGCGCCGCGGGCCCGGCUCGCCGAGACGUCCGGCUUAGGUCGGCGUUUGAGGCGCGGCGGGGGGCAACGUCUCUGUGCCCUGCUCCGGGUCCCCGCCGCCUGCGGUCUCUUCUGCUGCCGCCACUGAGGGGAACGGCUCUUCUUUGAAGACAUCAUCGGUCGACGGUGAUGCUGGCGGGCCGGUGGCGGCGUGCCCCGUCGGCAGCGCGCCUGGGGAGGACGCUGGUGACGACGAAUCUUCAUCGCCGUCGGCACCGGUCGCGAGCGAGUCGCUGUUUAGUUGGCCUGCUACUGUGCCAAAAAGUGCGACUGUGGCCAGACUGGUAUACGAUUUGUCAGUGCUUACGCCCCUCUUGCCGUGCCGGCCGUGCUCUUUGCCGUCUAUUGGGGAUGCGUUAGAGUUAUCGUUUUGGGGUUUAUACCGGUAUCAAGAUUGAUUUAAAAGAUGGAUUUCAUCACAUUUCUCGCGCACGUUCCACACGUCCUUUUGGUGUUUUGUAUGAUGGUAAAACGUGCUUAUACCUUUUCUCUGUUACCAAUGGGCCCUAUUAGGUACUGCAUCUCCUGCAUUAUUAGGUAGAGAUGCAGUACCAUUAUUAGGUACUGCAUUAUUAGGUACUGAAGGAGAUGCAGUUAGGUAAGUUGCAUCUCCUUCGGAGAUGCAGUACCUAACAGAUGCUUUCAGUGAACUUGUAGAGUCGAGAUUUAACGUCAGGUGUUUGGCGUAUUUAGAUGAUUUUCUUUUCAUGUCCAAGGACGCUGAAUGGUAUCGUUGCGUUUCUGACUAGUGUUGGGUUGUGUAUUAAUUUCAAUAAAUUAGUUCUGGUUCCGUUGCAUGUUUUUACGUUUCUUGGUGUGUCGAUUGACUUUGGGCGUGAUUCUGCGCGUGUUCAGGAUAAUGCCUUGUCUUGUCACUAUUGCGGGAUGGCCGUGGUCCAAGCACAGUCGCUGUGACAGACGGUUCGAUGUGUCGACCAAUCAUGUUGCUUCGUUUUUGGCGCCUUGUGUGUUGUCCGGUCUGUCAAGACUCAGCUGGCUCAGUCUCGACUCUGGCUCUGGCUGGCUCAGUCUCAGUCUCAUCAGAGAGCGAAAGGAGCUGCGCGCGCGGCUGCAGCAAUUCAUCGGCGGCGGCGCUGUGAACGCUGUGUCGGCGGCGCGCGAACAGGAGCUGAUCGCGCUAAACGAGGACCGCCAGCAGCUUGUCCAUCUGCAGCAGCUGGUGUUGCAGCUGAUGGGCGGCCAGCAGCUGGCGGCGGUCGCUACCCCCCCCCCCCCCGCCGGUCCUGUGUGCGGGGACCGCCGCGCCCGGCAGUGAUGGAGGGUACUAUGGCGGUGUUACAUUCCUAACUGUUGUCACAUAUCAACUGAGAACCGUCCGGCCGGAGGCAGUUAACGCCGGCCGGCACCUACUCACCGUGGCCGUAUUUUUUUAUAUGGAGAGAGGAGAGAGGAGAGAGAGGACAUCAGGUUGUCAGAGAAAUAAAGUGUAUAUUUAUUAUUUGAA
rnacentral:lncRNA from 1 species